UUCUUUCUUAUUAGCCUUGAGAUUGGUUUGAGUUUAAGAUAAUUGUUGUGUUUUCAGGCAAAAACAUGCAAAAAUAGGAGAGUUGAACUAUGAUUGUGCAAUGAUGAAUUCCUUCUUCACACAUUUUGAUGAUGAAUGUACUGUUACCUAAAACAAACAAACAAAAAACUGUUUCUAAAUCAGCUUUUGUACAGUUGAGUUAAUAACAACAUAUAUGUUAGUAAAAGUCAAAUAAAUCUUUGUUCAUAUUCUGAAGAAAUUCUUUUUGCUUUGUCACGUUUUACAAUUUCUUGAUUACAAAAACUAGGUAACAAAUGAUUUAAUUUAUCUGAAAAAUCAAUACACAAACUUGCACAGUUCACUAAUAGUAUGCUAACUACAUCCAUGAACAAAAAUUAAAAUUAUCAGAUUAUAUAUUCAAAAGUGUUUAGUAGAGUUAGAGAAUUUAUAUUGUACACUUCUCUAAAACCUUGGAACAAAACCCUAAAACCUUGGAACAAAAUUGUAAAUAAUGUAAUGUAAUUUAGAUUUCGAAAUGUCAAAUAACAUAUACAAAUACAGCUUAUAUACAAUAUAUUAAACUUCUCAACUACUUUGUAGUUUGUCCCUUUUCUAAAUUGUGGAAUCCUAUCCCCACCAAAUACACUCAAGCAUCUCACCAAAUCACAAAGGAGUCGUUCCUAUAAUAACACUAUACUCCAAAGAACAUUCUAUAAAAUAAGAAAAGAGAAGCACCAAACUCCAUAAUCCAUCCCUUGAACAAACCAGCAUUAUAUUCCAUCUCAAUCACGAGAUGAAAAACGAACUGCAACCAUGUCAAUAAUCGAGAGGUUGUGAAUUCCUUCACAAAGAAGUUCAAUUAGAAACCAUUCCCUCGAACUAACAACAAAGGAUAAUUAAAUCAUCAAAGAGGAGUUAUAAGAAACCCUCUCACUCUCUCACUCCAUUUAAAGCAAGAAAACCUGCAUCUAAGCAAUACCUUC
rnacentral:lncRNA from 1 species